UGAGUUUGAUCAUGGCUCAGNUUGAACGCUGGCGGCACGCUUAACACAUGCAAGUCGAACGGCAGCGGGAUGUUUUUUCGGAAACGAUUGCCGGCGAGUGGCGAACGGGUGAGUAACGCGUUGGGACCUGCCCUUAAGUGGGGGACAACCCGGGGAAACUCGGGCUAAUACCGCAUAUACUUGAGAAAGGAAAGCUGCCUUUGGGUGGCGCUUAAGGAGGGCCCUGCGUCCGAUUAGCUAGUUGGUGGGGUAACGGCCUACCAAGGCUGCGAUCGGUAACUGUUUUGAGAGGAAGGACAGUCACACUGGGACUGAGACACG
rnacentral:rRNA from 1 species